rnacentral:misc_RNA from 1 species
AAGUCGUAACAAGGUUUCCGUAGGUGAACCUGCGGAAGGAUCAUUAUUGAAUAACUAUGGUGUUGGUUGUAGCUGGCUUCUAGGAGCAUGUGCACGCAAUGUAGGCCUGGAUAACUCUCGCUUUCGAGCGGAUACAAGGAUUGCUUUCGAGCUCUCUUUGAAUUUCCAGGUCUAUGUUCCUUUACACACCCCAAUCGUAUAACGAAGAAUGUAGUCAAUGGGCUUCUAUGCCUAUAAAUCAAAAUACAACUUUCAGCAACGGAUCUCUUGGCUCUC